CCCAUAGGACUAGGAUCGAGAAUCUUUUGGCCUCCUAUGUCGAAGUGGAAGAAAGGGAAACAUAAGCUGCCUGGAUUCAUAGGCCAUAUAUUGGCUUGAGUUUAGCUUCAUGAGCCUUUGCACAGCCACAAGUAUCCACACGAGCUCCAAUUUUUCCAUAGGCAUAAUAGAUCUCAGAUAACUCCUCAUAGGAGAAUUACUGCCACAAGGUCUUAUCCUUCACC
rnacentral:lncRNA from 1 species